rnacentral:rRNA from 1 species
AUGGACACCGCAGGGAGUUCGACGGGAAGGAGUGGCGAGUCCAUGUUUGCCGAGGAGCUCUAUCAGGCUGGAAUCUGCAUGCGGGAGAGUAUCCGGUGGAUCGAGGCCCAGGAGGGCAAGAUGGAGGAGAUUGCACAUAGCGAUUCUGACUAUGAUAAUCUUCCGGAUUUCAGAAUGGAUAUGGUCGUCUUGACGGAGAGGAUCUUCCAAUUGUGGCACAGGAUGGGCGUGGUACAGAGGGCCGGUUGGAUCGGCAAUGAAGGGGGAUCGAUGGAGACCCAGAGCAAGAUUGGCGACGGCGGAGAGAUGGAAGCUGGAGGGAAGUCGUCGAAGGGAAGCAGGAGUUCCGCAUCCCUCGAACUCGAGAAUCUGCUCCACCGUUCCGGAAUCCUUGCCGACGGAGACAGAGGCGGAGGCGCAGACAGUGAGGAGCUGCUUGAUUUCCUCGCAAUGGAGACCCAGGAGUGGAUCGUUAGCCAGUCAGACAGUCAACUCCGCUGGGAGACCGUGCCCGAAUUGACAACCGAAAUCCUGUUGAAUUUUGAAGAAGUGGUCGUUGACAUUGCUAAGGUAUUUGAAAACAAGAAGAUCCGGGAGGAGGCAAUGGCAGUGCUAAGGUUCGGCUUCAGAUUGCCGGCAUUCUCUGAGCAGAUCGAUGAGCUGAGGCACGAGAUGUGCAACUUUCUGAGAUCCUUCUCGUCAGAGAACAAAGAUAUAAGGAACACCAUGAUGAAGUUUAUUUCUGAGCCGUACCUAUCCCGUAUCAGCAAAUUGAAGUUGAUCUCUGACCGUAUCACUAUGCUCCAGCGAAUGGACUCGGACUUCGACUACAAAGUGAAAUCAACGAUGAUUAAGCUGAAAUCAGAAUCUUUCUUGUCAGCCAUGGAGGACGAGCUUCGCAGGGCAGGCAAAGAAGAUUCCGUGGAGAUGGAGGAGAAGAGAUUCACUGCUUAUCAUCUCUACUGGGAACGUAUAUGGGGCAAGGAUGGCCACAGCUUCGAAAAUCAGACGAUAUUGAGCCCCAUGCAAUUUACACAUUGCACACCACGCCACAUUCCAAUUGAAGCUGUCGCAGGGAGUACCUUGCAGAUCUACUCCAUCAAAGUCUCACUAGUAGAACCCCAAAAGUUGCCACUGGAGGUGUAUGGAGUGGUCGCAGUCCGUGAUGCUGUGGACCGUCAUCGCAACCCUCUAUUCCUCCGUUCAAGACAGCACUGCCAAAUCCUUGAAGAAAAUGAUUCUUUAUUGCACUUGACUGGCCCGGUUCGUGCAAUUGUCUCGACGGAUACUGUUUACAUCGAAAUCCAAUUAAUAGUGAAGGGCGCAACAAAAUCUGAAGAUACAGCAUUGAUCAGUACAUUUGGCUUUUACAAUGCUGAUAAUUCCUGUACCUAUCUCGCUAAAAACGCCUUGUGCACAGUGGAGCUGUGCUGUGAGCAACUUAAACAGUCGGUCCAGGCUACUAUCCUCAGUGUGGCUGUUACACCCAAACAGGAAUCAUUGCUUUUUCAUGGUGGCAGAGUUGUUUGCUAUUCAGUGCCUGAGGAUGGUAAUGAAGAUAUCGCUGCGCAAGUAUCAUCUAGGCAAGUUUUGCUGCUUGAUUCGAAAGGUGGAAGAAUGCCUAUGGCAAGCAAUGACUACCUUUAUCUGACAAGACAUGUAGUUUCUGUGGAAUUAAAUGGAAAGCUGCUAGUCCUCAUAAUGGCUGGUUCACCAUCACAGACUGAGAUUACUGCUCAAUUCCUCCUUAAACCCGAAAAAUACAACACAAGUAAAUGCGAAUUUCCCCUUGCUGAUGGCUCUAAGGCUGAGAUUACUGUUGCUUGGUCCCUUGUUCCCUUGACGAUGCCACAGUCAGGUGACAGUCGUGAGGACAGUGGAAUGGCGACUGCAGGAAAUUCGAAGGGAAGGAGCGGCGAGUCCAUGUUAAGCGAGGAGCUCUGUCAAGCUGCCAUCUUCAUGCAGAAGAGUAUCUGCUGGAUCCAGGCCCUGGAGAAGAAGAUGGGGAAGUUUGGACACUACGGCUCCGAGGAAUACAAGAACCUUCUAGGGUUGAAAUCAGUUAUGUAUGAGUUGUCGAAUAAGAUCUUCGGUCGGGUCGACUGUGAGGCCCAGAAGAGGAUCAGCACGAUGCAGAAUGCCUGUUGGAUCAGCAAUAAAGGGAAAUUGACCGAUACCCAGACAAAAAUUGGCGACGACAUAGAGAUGGAAACCGGAGGGAAGUCGUCAAAGGGAAGGAGUGGCGAGUUUGAAUUGGUGAGGAUUGGCAACGAAGGCAGAACGGUGCAGACACAGAGCAAGAUUGGUGAUGGUUGCAAAUCAGUCUCCAAGCAGUUCAAUGAGCAGGAGCAGUUCAAGGAGCUGCCAGUCAGUAACUUGAUGUCCGUAGCCGAGUCUGUCAGAAAUAAGAUUGAGAAGAAGCAGGCUGAGACCAUGACGGAGGAGGUUGUGCCGAGGGUAAGCUUCAAAUUAGGUUUGCUCUCCUGGCAGUUUGAUGAGCUGUGGGACAAGAUGAGCCUGCUAGUCUCAACAGAACCAAAAUUUCUAGCGAUAUGCAUGCUUAUUAGAGAGCCCUUCGCAUGCUAUUGCUCCACAUUGAAGUUUAUCUCUGAAGUUUUCAACCGGCUUGGUGAAUGGGUGCCAGAUUUCGGAGAGCAAAUAGAAUCGAUGAGGCAAGAUGAUGAGGACAAGAAUAUGGGUGGAAAAGUUGUGAAUCCGCAUGAGGCGGCAAAGGCGGCUGAGGAGUACUAUUUCAAUGUCUACCGUAGAGGCUGGGAACGUAGGAACAGCAACUUUGGCAGCUUCGAAGACCCAACGUUAUUGAGCCCCAUGUUCUUUACCCGAAGCUUACCAGGCCACACCCAAGUGGGUACUGAAGUCGGGAGGACCAUGCAGGUCUACUAUAUUAAAGUUGCAGAAAGAGAAGGCUAUGCCCUUGAGUGGCCGCUGAAGGUAUAUGGUGUAGUCGCUGCACGAGAUGUAGUGGACUAUCGUCGCAACAUUCUCUUCCUUCGCACGAGGGAUGACUGCCAAAUCCUCAGGAGACAGGAUCCUUUUUUGCACUUGACUGGCCCUUCUCGUGCAAUUAUGUCUGGCGGCAUAAUGGAACCCACAGUUACGAUUGAAGUCCACCUAAAACUUAAGGGCAUGGUGGAGUCUAAAGAUAGAACAUUGAUCAGUAAAGCCUUUUUUUAUGAUGAAAAAGAUCUUGAUAGUGGUGAUAUUAUUUCCACCCGUGCCCUUCGUGGCCUUUGUGAAAUAGAGUUAUGCUGUGAGCAGCUUGAACAUUCACACCAAGCCACUAUCCUCGGUGUUCGUGUUGUACGGGGCUCAUUGCCUUGUGGCAAUGGCAUCAAGAUCGUUUGCUCCGCACUACCUGAGGACAAAACCAAAGGCGGUGGUAAGCGCCCAUCUGGGUGUAUUUUGCUGCUUGAUUCACAAGCUGGAGAUAUGCCUGUGGGUGAAGAGGGUUAUCUAGAUCUGUCGAGGCAAGUUGUAUCUGUAAAAUCAAGAGGAAGGCUCGAAAUUCUCAUGAAGGCUGGAGAAAUCAGUGGAAGUGUCGUCUUCCCAACCAAAUUCAGCAACAUAAGUCGAGAAAGUUGUGAGCUUGGUAGUUGUGAAGUGGAGAUAACCGUUGCUUGGUCCUUGCUCAUUGAAAACCAGUAUGAUAUCUCGGUGAUGGGAGCCAUACAGCCUUAUGCAUGGGAAUCAAUUCCACGUAGGCCUACCAUGAAGCUUGUUGGCGCUUGCUGA